rnacentral:rRNA from 1 species
AGCAGUAGCCGCGGUAAUACGUAGGUCCCGAGCGUUGUCCGGAUUUAUUGGGCGUAAAGCGAGCGCAGGCGGCUAGAUAAGUCUGAAGUUAAAGGCUGUGGCUUAACCAUAGUACGCUUUGGAAACUGUUUAACUUGAGUGCAAGAGGGGAGAGUGGAAUUCCAUGUGUAGCGGUGAAAUGCGUAGAUAUAUGGAGGAACACCGGUGGCGAAAGCGGCUCUCCGGCUUGUAACUGACGCUGAGGCUCGAAAGCGUGGGGAGCAAACAGGAUUAGAUACCCGUGUAGUCCCUGUCUCUUAUACA